CUCUUGGGCUGCAGGUUCUCAUGUGCCCCCUCCGGACCUUUCAGCCAGUUCCAGUGUUUGUUUUCCUUUCCGAAGUGGGGACAGAUUUGGACAAGGGCGACAGCGGUCUAUUUUCUCCACCUGGAAGCUUGGAAUGAACGAGAGGGGAAACUCAAGACUGGUUUUACCCCGCUUCCUGGAAACAGCAAAGCAAGCAAGAGGCCCCACCGUCAGGGAAAGGGGAGCAUAACAGAAUAGGUAUAGAACAUGUACUCCAUGCAGCCGAGAGGAUAUGCUGAUGCCCACGAAGAUCUGUUUACACUGAGUGCCCCUGAUGACCUCCCAGAGGAUGUACGACACAGUGCCAAGGCUCACACUUUUGCACAAGCACACACAAGCAGGCACGCACUACAGACGCAAGAGCACCUAAGUGAUGGAAACAUUCAGUGGGCUCCAUUUCAUCCCAAGAUUGUAACAGUUGCACUGAAAAUGAGGUCUGCAGGAACAGAGUGCUCUCCGUUUACAUGCUCUCUGGCUGGCUUCCAGCCCCCCUCCCCCUGCACCCCCAACCUGAGAUUCCCGGAGCAACAUGGCGAGCAAUAUUGGAGCCAUCCAGCUGUAGAGUUUUAAGCCAGAUUCCAUCUCAGACGAGGGAAACUAAGACGUAAAUGGAUCUAGUCGUCUACAAGUGGAUGCAUCCGAAUGGAGCGGAGGAGGCAGCUCCACAUUCUUCCACCUGCCGCUGAUUCAUAUUGGUUUGAUUAAAAAAAUACUCAGAAAUGCAAUUUUGAGCUUGACUUUAUUAAUGUCCUCCAUCAUUAAAAAAAUGUCAAAGAUGGUCAAAGGUGUUAAAAACACCAGAAACGCAAUUUUCACAAAUUGAACUUUAGUGAAAUAAUAAGGGAAUUGAUGGGUUAAUCAAUCGGUUCAGAGAGUAAAACGACGUGCUAAAAAGACAGAAGCUCUGGAACAAGUGUCUACAUUUGUUUCAAAACAGCCACAGACUGCAAGUCCAAUUAUAAGAAGGGUCCUUCUUCCCAAUUCCAAAACUCUCGUCCCAGCAUGGUUUACUCCCAAUCCACUCUGCUCCCCCACCAUCUGUUUUAUUCUGUCUUUGCCAUCUUUCCUCGCUGCUCCUUAGUGAAUAUCACUACUUCCAAGCUUUACACCCGUUCUCCUCACCACUCUCCCUUCACCAUACGUUCUCCAUGUCCUCCAUUGUCUCAGUUUAAAUCUUCUUUUAUCUGCUCCCCCCACCCCCCUCUCAUGCACUUCUUCCAUGUGUCUCUUCUUGUGAGUGGCGGGGUCUGCAGGGUGCUUGUUAUCCAGCACCUAUCCAGAAACCGGGAAGCCAGACAGCAUGACAGGCAGCCGUGCAGACAGACAUGCAAAAAGAGAGCAGAAUGACAGCCGGGCAGCUUUUGGAGCAAGACUGACAGAUGGGGGGGGGGUACCAGAGAGCAGGCGUCUGAGGUGGAGGCUCUAUGAGACAGAAUAAAACAGUCUGGAUAAAAGGUAAAUAAAAAAGGAAUGAAUUAGGGCUCUAAACCAGACAAAAAUGAUAGAUAAUGGCAAGGAACUAGAGAACACACAAGUAGAU
ensembl:lncRNA